GUGCUCACUUCAACAGCACAUAUACUAAAAUUGGAAUGAUACAGAGAAGAUGAGCAUGGCUUCUGCGCAAGGAUGACACGCAGAUUCGUGAUGGAGAAGAGGGUGAG